AUCUCUCUCUCUCUCUCUCUCUCUCUCUCUCUCUCUCUCUCCACUCUCACCCCUCGCGCGCGCGUAAACUUUUCACGAGGGGUGAACCGCGCGCGUAAUAUCGGCCAUUCACGUGUGAGCGUGUCUCCUUCUACCCCCUCCCUCCCCUCCACCCUCGACUCACAUCCACGCGCGCCCGAAAAAAUAAACACAGAAUCGAACCCUUUCUACAAAUUCAAAUAGCCGGAAGAGGGGGAGAGCGGCUGCCUCCUCGCGCCCCCUCCCUCUCCCCCUUUCUUUUGUCCCUCGACUUUUUCGAAAAAAUUAGACCAGGGAUACGAUCGAUGGAAGAAGAAGGAUAAAGAGAAGGGGGGAAGGGAAGAAAUAGCCACGGAUCGGCGAUCCGCUGUCAAAACACGAAAUUCGAUCGGGAGGAAUGAUCGGCCCUCCCCCUGUGCCCCGAUUUUUCAUUCGACGAAUUUUCCAGACCCGAGGAUAUAUCCCGAAAGGGGUGACGAAAUGGAUCGGUAAUAAAA